rnacentral:rRNA from 1 species
AACGAACGCUGGCGGCAUGCCUAACACAUGCAAGUCGAACGAUCCCUUCGGGGAUAGUGGCGCACGGGUGCGUAACGCGUGGGAACCUGCCCUUAGGUUCGGAAUAACUCAGAGAAAUUUGAGCUAAUACCGGAUAAUGUCUUCGGACCAAAGAUUUAUCGCCUUUGGAUGGGCCCGCGUUGGAUUAGCUAGUUGGUGGGGUAAAGGCCUACCAAGGCGACGAUCCAUAGCUGGUCCGAGAGGAUGAUCAGCCACACUGGGACUGAGACACGGCCCAGACUCCUACGGGAGGCAGCAGUGGGGAAUAUUGGACAAUGGGCGAAAGCCUGAUCCAGCAAUGCCGCGUGAGUGAUGAAGGCCUUAGGGUUGUAAAGCUCUUUUACCCGGGAUGAUAAUGACAGUACCGGGAGAAUAAGCCCCGGCUAACUCCGUG